AAUUAAUCAUGACGUCUGGAAAAAGUGCUUUUAAAAAUUUUACGCUUUCAUAACAAAAUUCUAUGAAAUAAAUUCAAAGUUUAAACUGUUUCAAAUUACUUAUACUGACAUAGCAAUGCAUAGUUUUUGUGAAACUUUAUCGAACAAAGAAGACCCCUGUCCCAAAUGUUUUGCAGCGGAGGACAAUGUGCUUGCUGGACCCUCGGGGCUUAUUAAUUUUCCAACAUGUGCAUAAUGGUCAAUCAUUCCCUUGGAACUCCAGCCCACAUGUUGAUUGAUCGCUUGAUCAUCGACUCCUAACAUUCUUACGGUAAUUGCGCAACCGCCUCUGUUGCUGUAGGACGUUUCUCCUUGAUACAAAUUAAUAUUCAUUAAAUGCGUCUUUAACCGGUCUGUCAUACAUGAUGAUGAUACUACUCGAUUAUUAUUUUGUUUUGACUUGUUGUCUCUAACACGAUAAAUGAAACCCUUGUUUAAAUCAAUAUAUUAUUUACUUGCUAUACAUUUGUAAUCCUUUACGAGUUUAAU
rnacentral:lncRNA from 1 species